CUUUGUCAGUUAUGGGCUCCGUGUUUGCAUCCCCCUGGAAUUCACAUGGUGCAAUUUAACCCCAAGUUCAGCAUUGGGACAUGGAGCCCAGGGGAGGUGGUCGUUAGGUUCAAGACAGCUCAUCCGUCCUGCCCUGCAACAGCAAGGGGGAUGACCUACGGGCGGGCAGGUCCCCCCCAGGCUCUAACCCGCCAGCCUCGGACUUGACUCUCCGGCCUUGUGGCAUCUGGUUCCAGCAGCCCGAAAGGAGUUCUGGAAGGAACAUGACAACGUCCUUUCCUGGGGGUCAACUGAGAAAUCCUGGGCCAAGGUCUCACCAAGGACACUGAGAGCUGCCUGUGUACAGGAGAGGGACUCUGAAGGCUGUGUAGAGGAGCAUGAGCCUUCAACUGACCAAACCGAGUUACACCCAGUUCUCGGGAAGGAACUGAAUUAGUAAGUCAAGGGUCCACUAUAUUUUCCUCAAUGUAAAGCACAAUUCAUGAAUUUUAAUUUCAGUUUUGUUUUCUUUCUAGAUCUUCUCUCUAAUACAGGAGCAAAGCAGUGAUAAGGGUCAGGCAGAAGGGAGGGAACUAGAACCCCAACAUUCACUAGCCUGGGUCAUCAGGACAAGAGACAUCCUUGUCAGAUUUCUGCUUCCAGUGCUACGUGAGAGGCUUUGAAAUAAUGGAGUCAGAGGCAGUUCUAGGCUCCUUUUUUGGGCAACUUGGGGUCCAACAUUACCGGCUGUCACCUGCCAUCCUGGUGGGCAGAACAGAGGGCGGGCCUCUGUUGACCACGCCUAGAAGGACACUACAAAUGUUUUGUCCCACGGGUGAGCAAGAAAAUAGAGCAGGAAGAGCAGGAAAUCACUGUCCCCACACGGCUGCGCUGUCUACUGUGAAGGGCUGAACGCGUUCCCGGGUCACCAGACGACAGCCACUUGGAGCUGCUUCCAUCCCUUGUGAAGCCAAGCUCAUCUACCAAGCACCUCCCAGCUUCUGUGAGCACCAUGCACCUUCCUUGGACUGGAAAAUGAUUUGGAAAAGGGGGACUGGCUCUUCCACUAAUACGUCCUUGAUCAGGAAGGGUCUGGUGUGUUAGCCCUGAACCAGCAACCCAGUUUAAUUCCUUACUUUAUUUGUUUAAAAAUGGAACUUGUAGCAAAAGUGGACAUGCUGUCCAGAAAAGAGCAAUAAGAAAAUAAUUGUCACUUUAUGGUACAAGUCACGCUGAUGGCAGGCAGUGAAUUUAGGGUUAGGGCUACUGGGGAAGGCCGCUUCUCUGUAGAUAACAAAUUAGCAUCUGAUUUAGAGACAUUUUCUUUAAAUCAUCUAGUUGGUUUUCCUUGCCAGACCCUGUACUUUGGGUAUUCUUUUUAUUUAUUUUUAUUUAAGUUCUAUCAUUUGACCUGAAGAGAAUGAUACUCUACGAACAAGUAUGGCUUCCUUGGGACUCUUUCUGAGUUGCUUUAUUUAUAUAACACUGCAUUUAUUUAUUUACUUAUCCUGCUGGAGGUUGAACCCAGGGCUUCACAGUGAGCUAUAUCCUCUGUCAUUUUUAUCAUUUUUAAAUUUUGAGACAGAGUCUUGCUAGGUUGUCAAAUUGCCCGGGCUCAAUUUUUGAGCCUUUGUGAUCUUCCUAUUAUCUUUCUUUUUAAAGGAAGAAUUUCCAAGUUUGUUAUAAGAUGAGAGGUAGUGAUUGGAAUCCACUGUGAGCCACUGGUUGGCAUUUCCCAGGUUUGAUGCAUUUCGGUCUGACCCGUUAUCCACCACGAGUCCAUGUCAAAACAGUCACAGAACCCUGUGCUCCACACCCUUCUGCUUCAGGUUCUACUUGGCUGGUGGAGCCCAAGACACCAAUUCUACACAUCUGGGUGAAUUUUUCAGCAGCAAAUUAAUUAGACACCCUUUCGUGUGGUUGAGGAGGAAGAUGCACAAGCAGAGAAACAAGACUGAGAAGGGCUGCCGGGACCAGGUCAUUUCAUUGUUCAAAGAAAAAAUUCGGUGGAAGGAGCCUUCUCCGUGCUCAUUAGGAACCCAGGCCUCCGCGUUCCCAUGCAAGAAGGGGAACAGAAGGAAUCUCAGUUGCUUUUUCAUGAGAUCUGACCCAGAGUUGAACAAAGAGAAUUGUAAAGCUUUUGCAUAUGCCAUUUUGAGGAGGGGGGCAUCAAUCUCUUUCCUCCUUCUCUGGUGUUUGUUGCUUGAAUAAAAAGAA
rnacentral:lncRNA from 1 species